rnacentral:lncRNA from 1 species
AUCAUGACAGUUUUAUUUGUAAUAUCCCCAAAUGCAAGCAAUCCAAAUGCUGAACAGGUAAACAGACAAGCAGAGUGUAGAAUAUAGAAUAUACAAUGGAAUAAACAAUUAUGAACUAGGUAUACCUGCAACGAUAUAAAUGAAUCUCAGAAUAACUAUUGAGUAGGGGAAGCCAGACUGAAGGAAAGAACGGAUGUUCCUUUUUAUGGCCGCUUAGCAUUCCAUGGUGUAUAGGUACCACAUUUUCUUCAUCCAAUCCACUGCUGAUGGGCAUCUAGGUUGAUUCCAUGUCUUUGCUAUUGUAAACAACGCUUUGAUGAACAUAUGGGUGCACGUGCCUUUUUGAUAAAAUGACUUACUUGCCUUUGGGUAUAUACCUAGUAAUGGAUUGCUGGGUCGAAUAGCAGUUCUAAGUGCUUUCAGAAAUCUCCAAACUGCCUUCCACAGUGGCUGAACUAGUUUUUAUUCCCAGCAAGUGUAUAAGGGUUCCCUCUUCCCCGCAGCCUCACAAGCAUUGGUUGUUUAUUGACUUUUUCAUAAUCGCCAUUCUGACCGGUGUGAGACGUUAUCUCAUUGUGGUCAUGUCCUUCGCAGCAACAUGGAUGGCAGCCAUUGUCCUAAGGAAUUAACCCAAGAAUGGGAAACCAAAUAACGCAUGUUCUCACUUAUAAGUGGGACCUAAACAUUGAAUACACAUAGACAUAAAGAUGGGAGCAGCAGACACUGGGGACGACUAGGGAGGGAGGGAGGCAGGGAGGGAGUGGAACAGAACGUGGGCUGAAAAACUACUACUCACUACCUGGGUGACUGGAUCAUCUGUACCCCAACCUUCAGCACCCUGCAAUAUACUCAUGAAACAAACCUGCACAUGUACCCUUUAAUCUAAAAUAAAAGUUGAAAUUGUUUUUUUAAAAAAGAGCACAUAGUAUAUUAUUCCAUUUACAUAAAAUUUUAGAAAACACAAAUGAAUGUGUUGACAAAUCAGUGGUUGCCUGGAGAAGGGGGAGUGCAGAGAGGUACAUGGGGAAUAAAUUAUAAAGGGACUGGAGGAGAUGUUUGGAGGUGGUGAAUGUGUUCACUAUGUUGAUUGCGGUGAUGAUUUCAUGGACGUACACAUCUGUAGAAACGUUGGUGUGUACAUAUGUUGUAUUCUCAAAUUGUCCACUCUGAGUACGAGCAGUGGGGAUUAAGAGGAAAAUAAUAGUAGAGAACAAAAUCAGAGCUUGGCAUGGCUCUCUGCUGGCACCGUGCAGGGUGUGAUUACAUCAGAUCUGUGCAACUCAGAUCUUGGGGAGGGGUUGGGGGGUGGAAGGUGGAGGGAGGAAGGGAGAGAAAACAGAGGGCGGGAAGAAGGGAAGGAAGUGAAGAAGGGAAUGAGGGACGGAAAGAGAGAGACAGCGAAGAGAGGAGAAAGCUCUUAGCAUAUGAAACUGCAGCUAGGACUAAAACCAGAGGAAGGCACACAGAAUCUUGACUGCUCUUCAGAAAUACAUGGCACUCCGUUAAAAUGAAGAUUUUUGCUGCUCACUCCAGAAAUAUUGAAUCAAAACGUGGAGCAGGAGACAGGCAAGGCCAGUGAAGGAGUGUGGCUCCGAUAGGAUUGACAACUACUACCUUAGAUGAUGAAUCAAGCUCAGAAGGGAUCCCUCUGGAUUUCCCUGCGGUGAAGAAACCGAGGCAAUGAACAAAGUAAUAUACCCAAGAUCACAUUGCCAGUGAAUGGGAGAGCUGACGUUUCAAUCUACACAGAACCUGUGCUCUUAGCUAUCUAACCGCUUUACUUGGAAGUGAUGUGAGAUUAAAAAAAGAAGAAAAACAAAAUAUUUUCUUAUGCUUUCAAAAAGUUCAAAAUUAAUAAGGGAACCGUUUCUCCAUGGGGACAGGAGCUUCUGGAAGGCUGGACCCAAUCAUUACAGGCUCAGUCCAGGGCCUUUCCUUCACACCAACUACUGCAGGUACAAACUGUCUAACUGAUCCAGUUCUUAUUUAACUUGUCUCAGUUACUUCGACUUUAUCACUCACUCAGAGAUAAGACAACUGUCAGUCCUCUGAGCCUAAGCUAAGCCAUCAUAUCCCCUGUGACCUGCACAUACACAUCCAGAUGGCCUGUUCCUGCCUUAACUGAUGACAUUAUCUUGUGAAAUUCCUUCUCCUGGCUCAUUCUGGCUCAAAAGCUCCCCUACUGAGCACCUUGUGACCCCCACUCCUGCCCACCAGAGAACAAACCCCCUUUUUCCUUUACCUACCCAAAUCCUAUAAAACGGCCCCACCCCUAUCUCCCUUCACUGACUCUCUAUUCGGACUCA